UACGGAGGAUGCGAGCGUUAUCCGGAUUUAUUGGGUUUAAAGGGUGCGUAGGCGGAUCGUUAAGUCAGUGGUCAAAUUGAGGGGCUCAACCCCUUCCCGCCAUUGAAACUGGCGAUCUUGAGUGGAAGAGAAGUAUGCGGAAUGCGUGGUGUAGCGGUGAAAUGCAUAGAUAUCACGCAGAACCCCGAUUGCGAAGGCAGCAUGCCGGCUUCCGACUGACGCUGAAGCACGAAAGCGUGGGGAUCAAACAGG
rnacentral:rRNA from 1 species